rnacentral:rRNA from 1 species
ACGCUGGCGGCUGCCUAAUACAUGCAAGUAGAACGCUGAAGAGAGGAGCUUGCUCUUCUUGGAUGAGUUGCGAACGGGUGAGUAACGCGUAGGUAACCUGCCUUGUAGCGGGGGAUAACUAUUGGAAACGAUAGCUAAUACCGCAUAACAAUGGAUGACACAUGUCAUUUAUUUGAAAGGGGCAAUUGUUCCACUACAAGACGGACCUGCGUUGUAUUAGCUAGUAGGUGAGGUAAUGGCUCACCUAGGCGACGAUACAUAGCCGACCUGAGAGGGUGAUCGGCCACACUGGGACUGAGACACGGCCCAGACUCCUACGGGAGGCAGGAGUAGGGAAUUCUUCGGGCAUGGGGGGCCACCCUGGACGAACCACGCCGCGUGAGUUAAGAAAGGUUUCGGAUCGUAAAGCUCUGUUGUUAGUCCAGAACCGGUGUUAAAAUGGAAAGUUCACCCCGUUACCGUAGCCUAACCGAAAGGGAAGGCUAACUAACGUUGCAGCAGGCGCGGUAAUAACGUAAGUCCCGAACUUGGCCCGAUAUAAUGGGCGUAAAGCGAACGCACGCGCUGAUAAGUCUGAAGUUAAAGGCUGUGGCUCAACCAUAGUUCGCUUUGGAAACUGUCAAACUUGAGUGCAGAAGGGGAGAGUGGAAUUCCAUGUGUAGCGGUGAAAUGCGUAGAUAUAUGGAGGAACACCGGUGGCGAAAGCGGCUCUCUGGUCUGUAACUGACGCUGAGGCUCGAAAGCGUGGGGAGCGAACAGGAUUAGAUACCCUGGUAGUCCACGCCGUAAACGAUGAGUGCUAGGUGUUGGAUCCUUUCCGGGAUUCAGUGCCGCAGCUAACGCAUUAAGCACUCCGCCUGGGAGUACGA